rnacentral:rRNA from 1 species
AACGAUGAAGCUUUAGCUUGCUAGAAAGUGGAUUAGUGGCGCACGGGUGAGUAAUGCAUAGGUUAUGUGCCCCAUAGUCUGGGAUAGCCACUGGAAACGGUGAUUAAUACCGGAUACUCCUUACGAGGGAAAGUUUUUCGCUAUGGGAUCAGCCUAUGUCCUAUCAGCUUGUUGGUGAGGUAAUGGCUCACCAAGGCUAUGACGGGUAUCCGGCCUGAGAGGGUGAACGGACACACUGGAACUGAGACACGGUCCAGACUCCUACGGGAGGCAGCAGUAGGGAAUAUUGCUCAAUGGGCGAAAGCCUGAAGCAGCAACGCCGCGUGGAGGAUGAAGGUUUUAGGAUUGUAAACUCCUUUUGUUAGAGAAGAUUAUGACGGUAUCUCACGAAUAAGCAC